rnacentral:rRNA from 2 species
AGCUCCAAUAGCGUAUAUUAAAGUUGUUGCAGUUAAAAAGCUCGUAGUCGGAUUUCUUGGUUGUAUUGGAGCACGCGCUUCGAACGAAGCGUUCGUUGCAACAAUCCACCAUUUCGUCCCUUGCUCGCAGCUGGUCUUUGUUGACUCGGUUGUUGUGCUGGGACCUUUUACUGUGAGAAAAUUAGAGUGUUCAAGGCAAGCGUUUUUGCAAUUGAAUAUUCCAGCAUGGAAUAACAAGAUACGACUUUCGAGCUAUUUUGUUGGUUUCUAUUUCGGAAGUAAUGAUUGAUAGGGAUAGUUGGGGGUGCUAGUAUUGGAUGGCCAGAGGUGAAAUUCAUGGAUUCAUUCAAGACUAACUUAUGCGAAAGCAUUCACCAAGGAUGUCCUCUUUG